rnacentral:rRNA from 1 species
UGGAACUGAGACACGGUCCAGACUCCUACGGGAGGCAGCAGUGGGGAAUAUUGCACAAUGGGCGCAAGCCUGAUGCAGCCAUGCCGCGUGUAUGAAGAAGGCCUUCGGGUUGUAAAGUACUUUCAGCGGGGAGGAAGGUGUUGUGGUUAAUAACCGCAGCAAUUGACGUUACCCGCAGAAGAAGCACCGGCUAACUCCGUGCCAGCAGCCGCGGUAAUACGGAGGGUGCAAGCGUUAAUCGGAAUUACUGGGCGUAAAGCGCACGCAGGCGGUCUGUCAAGUCGGAUGUGAAAUCCCCGGGCUCAACCUGGGAACUGCAUUCGAAACUGGCAGGCUUGAGUCUUGUAGAGGGGGGUAGAAUUCCAGGUGUAGCGGUGAAAUGCGUAGAGAUCUGGAGGAAUAC